UUAAACUCCACAGUAGACUUUUCUUCCCCGUCACUCUAACAUCAAAAGCUGUGUGUGCAUUGCCUUGUAUCUGAUGAAGAGACGAAAGGCUUGUAAGUUGUCUUAUACAUUUACAUGUAUCUCUAAGAAUGUUUACCAAAACCGGAUUAUACCUUAUUUAUGAAAGUCUCUAGUGGUCGCUGAACAAAACUCUCUUUCUUCUCCCUUUGGUUGAACAAUUUUCUGAAAUAAUUUAAAUCAGUUUACCCCCA
rnacentral:lncRNA from 1 species